rnacentral:rRNA from 1 species
UUUAAAAUGAGAGUUUGAUCCUGGCUCAGGACGAACGCUGGCGGCGUGCCUAAUACAUGCAAGUCGAGCGAGCGAAACUAACAGAUUUACUUCGGUAAUGACGUUAGGAAAGCGAGCGGCGGAUGGGUGAGUAACACGUGGGGAACCUGCCCCAUAGUCUGGGAUACCACUUGGAAACAGGUGCUAAUACCGGAUAAGAAAGCAGAUCGCAUGAUCAGCUUUUAAAAGGCGGCGUAAGCUGUCGCUAUGGGAUGGCCCCGCGGUGCAUUAGCUAGUUGGUAAGGUAAAGGCUUACCAAGGCGAUGAUGCAUAGCCGAGUUGAGAGACUGAUCGGCCACAUUGGGACUGAGACACGGCCCAAACUCCUACGGGAGGCAGCAGUAGGGAAUCUUCCACAAUGGACGCAAGUCUGAUGGAGCAACGCCGCGUGAGUGAAGAAGGUUUUCGGAUCGUAAAGCUCUGUUGUUGGUGAAGAAGGAUAGAGGUAGUAACUGGCCUUUAUUUGACGGUAAUCAACCAGAAAGUCACGGCUAACUACGUGCCAGCAGCCGCGGUAAUACGUAGGUGGCAAGCGUUGUCCGGAUUUAUUGGGCGUAAAGCGAGCGCAGGCGGAAGAAUAAGUCUGAUGUGAAAGCCCUCGGCUUAACCGAGGAACUGCAUCGGAAACUGUUUUUCUUGAGUGCAGAAGAGGAGAGUGGAACUCCAUGUGUAGCGGUGGAAUGCGUAGAUAUAUGGAAGAACACCAGUGGCGAAGGCGGCUCUCUGGUCUGCAACUGACGCUGAGGCUCGAAAGCAUGGGUAGCGAACAGGAUUAGAUACCCUGGUAGUCCAUGCCGUAAACGAUGAGUGCUAAGUGUUGGGAGGUUUCCGCCUCUCAGUGCUGCAGCUAACGCAUUAAGCACUCCGCCUGGGGAGUACGACCGCAAGGUUGAAACUCAAAGGAAUUGACGGGGGCCCGCACAAGCGGUGGAGCAUGUGGUUUAAUUCGAAGCAACGCGAAGAACCUUACCAGGUCUUGACAUCUAGUGCCAUUUGUAGAGAUACAAAGUUCCCUUCGGGGACGCUAAGACAGGUGGUGCAUGGCUGUCGUCAGCUCGUGUCGUGAGAUGUUGGGUUAAGUCCCGCAACGAGCGCAACCCUUGUUAUUAGUUGCCAGCAUUAAGUUGGGCACUCUAAUGAGACUGCCGGUGACAAACCGGAGGAAGGUGGGGAUGACGUCAAGUCAUCAUGCCCCUUAUGACCUGGGCUACACACGUGCUACAAUGGGCAGUACAACGAGAAGCGAGCCUGCGAAGGCAAGCGAAUCUCUGAAAGCUGUUCUCAGUUCGGACUGCAGUCUGCAACUCGACUGCACGAAGCUGGAAUCGCUAGUAAUCGCGGAUCAGCACGCCGCGGUGAAUACGUUCCCGGGCCUUGUACACACCGCCCGUCACACCAUGGGAGUCUGCAAUGCCCAAAGCCGGUGGCCUAACCUUCGGGAAGGAGCCGUCUAAGGCAGGGCAGAUGACUGGGGUGAAGUCGUAACAAGGUAGCCGUAGGAGAACCUGCGGCUGGAUCACCUCCUUUCUAAGGAA